UACGUCUGGCGGCCAUAGCGAGUUGGAACCACGCCUUCCCAUCCCGAACAGGACCGUGAAACGACUCCGCGCCAAUGAUAGUAAGCUCUUCGCUUGCGAAAGUAGGUCACCGCCA
rnacentral:rRNA from 1 species